GGAAGUAUGGGUGAUAUGGCCGAAAUAUCUGUCACCACAUUGAUCACCAGGGUUGAUUUGGCUGAUCUGGCUGAUUGGGUGGGCGUCCCUCCUCCUUCCUCACAGCUCCAUGUGCAUCCCUCCCAAAGCUACACUCUUGAUCAAAGAGGUUGACCUUCCCUGAGUAGAGGAGAAUGGGUCUUCACCAAGUAGCUAUGCUUCCUGCUAGGACCUCCAAACAAAUUCAGGGAGCUGAGUGUUCAUGGUGCCUGUCUACCUGAGAUGGUAUGCACACAGCACAAUAGGCAG
rnacentral:snRNA from 1 species